rnacentral:rRNA from 1 species
GCAGUCGAGCGGACGGAUGGGAGCUUGCUCCCUGAAGUCAGCGGCGGACGGGUGAGUAACACGUGGGCAACCUGCCUGUAAGACUGGGAUAACUCCGGGAAACCGGGGCUAAUACCGGAUAACUCUUUUCCUCACAUGAGGAAAAGCUGAAAGAUGGUUUCGGCUAUCACUUACAGAUGGGCCCGCGGCGCAUUAGCUAGUUGGUGAGGUAACGGCUCACCAAGGCCACGAUGCGUAGCCGACCUGAGAGGGUGAUCGGCCACACUGGGACUGAGACACGGCCCAGACUCCUACGGGAGGCAGCAGUAGGGAAUCUUCCGCAAUGGACGAAAGUCUGACGGAGCAACGCCGCGUGAGUGAUGAAGGUUUUCGGAUCGUAAAACUCUGUUGUCAGGGAAGAACAAGUACCGGAGUAACUGCCGGUACCUUGACGGUACCUGACCAGAAAGCCACGGCUAACUACGUGCCAGCAGCCGCGGUAAUACGUAGGUGGCAAGCGUUGUCCGGAAUUAUUGGGCGUAAAGCGCGCGCAGGCGGUUCCUUAAGUCUGAUGUGAAAGCCCCCGGCUCAACCGGGGAGGGUCAUUGGAAACUGGGGAACUUGAGUGCAGAAGAGAAGAGUGGAAUUCCNCGUGUANCGGUGAAAUGCGUAGAGAUGNGGAGGAAC